AAGUAAAUAGUACACUACGUACCAGUUGGUUUCGACCCAACUUGAUAAGGCCCUCCCCUUUUUACUUC
rnacentral:tRNA from 1 species